GAUGAACGCUGGCGGCGUGCCUAAUACAUGCAAGUCGAGCGAACAGACGAGGAGCUUGCUCCUCUGACGUUAGCGGCGGACGGGUGAGUAACACGUGGACAACCUACCUAUAAGGCUGGGAUAACUUCGGGAAACCGGAGCUAAUACCGGAUAAUAUAUUGAACCGCAUGGUUCAAUAGUGAAAGACGGUUUUACCGUCACUUAUAGAUGGAUCCGCGCCGCAUUAGCUAGUUGGUAAGGUAACGGCUUACCAAGGCAACGAUGCGUAGCCGACCUGAGAGGGUGAUCGGCCACACUGGAACUGAGACACGGUCCAGACUCCUACGGGAGGCAGCAGUAGGGAAUCUUCCGCAAUGGGCGAAAGCCUGACGGAGCAACGCCGCGUGAGUGAUGAAGGUCUUCGGAUCGUAAAACUCUGUUAUUAGGGAAGAACAAAUGUGUAAGUAACUAUGCACGUCUUGACGGUACCUAAUCAGAAAGCCACGGCUAACUACGUGCCAGCCGCCGCGGUAA
rnacentral:rRNA from 1 species